rnacentral:rRNA from 1 species
GAUGAACGCUGGCGGCGUGCCUAACACAUGCAAGUCGAACGGAGUUAUGAAGUUUUCGGACGGAUUAACUUAGUGGCGGACGGGUGAGUAACGCGUGGGUAACCUGCCUCAUACAGGGGGAUAACAGUUGGAAACGACUGCUAAAACCGCAUAACAUUGCGAUGCCGCAUGGCGAUGCAAUUAAAUAUUUAUAGGUAUGAGAUGGGCCCGCGUCUGAUUAGCUAGUUGGUGAGGUAAUGGCUCACCAAGGCGACGAUCAGUAGCCGGCUUGAGGGAGUGACCGGCCACAUUGGGACUGAGACACGGCCCAAACUCCUACGGGAGGCAGCAGUGGGGAAUAUUGCACAAUGGGCGAAAGCCUGAUGCAGCGACGCCGCGUGAGUGAAGAAGUAUUUCGGUAUGUAAAGCUCUAUCAGCAGGGAAGAUAAUGACGGUACCUGACUAAGAAGCCCCGGCUAACCACGUGCCAGCCGCCGCUGUAA